ACAGCAGCAGCCGCGGUAAUACGAAGGGGGCUAGCGUUGUUCGGAAUCACUGGGCGUAAAGGGUGCGUAGGCGGAUCCUUAAGUCAGGGGUGAAAUCCCGAGGCUCAGCCUCGGAACUGCCUUUGAUACUGGGGAUCUUGAGUCCGGAAGAGGUGAGUGGAACUGCGAGUGUAGAGGUGAAAUUCGUAGAUAUUCGCAAGAACACCGGUGGCGAAGGCGGCUCACUGGUCCGGAACUGACGCUGAGGCACGACAGCGUGGGGAGCAAACAGGAUUAGAGACCCCUGUAGUCCCUGUCUCUUAUAC
rnacentral:rRNA from 1 species